AUUGAACGCUGGCGGCAUGCCUUACACAUGCAAGUCGAACGGUAGAGGGGGCAACCCCUUGAGAGUGGCGAACGGGUGAGUAAUAUAUCGGAACGUGCCCAGUCGUGGGGAUAACGUAGCGAAAGCUACGCUAAUACCGCAUACGAUCUAUGGAUGAAAGCGGGGGAUCGCAAGACCUCGCGCGAUUGGAGCGGCCGAUAUCAGAUUAGGUAGUUGGUGAGGUAAAGGCUCACCAAGCCGACGAUCUGUAGCUGGUCUGAGAGGACGACCAGCCACACUGGGACUGAGACACGGUCCAGACUCCUACGGGAGGCAGCAGUGAGGAAUAUUGGUCAAUGGGCGCAAGCCUGAACCAGCCAUGCCGCGUGCAGGAAGACGGUCCUAUGGAUUGUAAACUGC
rnacentral:rRNA from 1 species